GUACACAGGAUAGGGCAGAUUAAUAAACUGGAUGCAGUUCAAAGGAGGGCGGCACGCUUCGUAACAGGAAACUACCAAAGGGACAGCAGUGUCACACAAAUGCAGACCUGCCUUGAAUGGGAAUCACUUGAACGCAGGAGGGAAAAGAGUCGUUUGGUUAUGCUGUACAAAAUCUACAAGCGAAAGGUGGGCCUAAAGCAAGAGGACUACAUACAAGUAUCAACAGGGUCAAGGUUAAGAAGAAACCACCAUCACUCAAUAGAAAUCCCCUUUGCCAGAAAGGACGUAUACAAAUACUCCUUUUUUCCAAAAACUGGACGAGCAUGGAAUACCCUCGACCAGCAGUCUGUAAUAGCUACAUCAGUUGAUAAUUUCAGAAACACACUCUAGCAUGCAUCACCUGCCAUACAAGUAAGCGACAUGCGGAAUACCGCCCUGCUGACUCCAAUUUCAGAAGGUUCA